rnacentral:rRNA from 1 species
GACCGUGUUACUACCUCUCGCUACCAUGCAGUCGAGGGGCAGCAUAUAGAUUGCUUGCAAUUUAUGAUGGCGACCGGCGCACGGGUGAGUAACGCGUAUCCAACCUACCCAUUACUAGGGAAUAACCCAGCGAAAGUUGGCCUAAUGCCCUAUGUAGUCGUUUGAUCGCCUGAGAUUUCGACGAAAGAUUUAUCGGUAUUGGAUGGGGAUGCGUCUGAUUAGCUUGUUGGCGGGGUAAAGGCCCACCAAGGCAACGAUCAGUAGGGGUUCUGAGAGGAAGGUCCCCCACAUUGGAACUGAGACACGGUCCAAACUCCUACGGGAGGCAGCAGUGAGGAAUAUUGGUCAAUGGGCGAGAGCCUGAACCAGCCAAGUAGCGUGCAGGAUGACGGCCCUAUGGGUUGUAAACUGCUUUUAUAUGGGAAUAAAGUGAGGGACGUGUCCCUUAUUGCAUGUACCAUACGAAUAAGGACCGGCUAAUUCCGUGCCAGCAGCCGCCGGUAAUAAA